UAGGGAAUCUUCGGCAAUGGACGAAAGCCUGACCGAGCAACGCCGCGUGAGUGAAGAAGGCUUUCGGAUCGUAAAACUCUGUUGUUAGAGAAGAACAAGGACGUUAGUAACUGAACGUCCCCUGACGGUAUCUAACCAGAAAGCCACGGCUAACUACGUGCCAGCAGCCGCGGUAAUACGUAGGUGGCAAGCGUUGUCCGGAUUUAUUGGGCGUAAAGCGAGCGCAGGCGGUUUCUUAAGUCUGAGGUGAAAGCCCCCGGCUCAACCGGGGAGGGUCAUUGGAAACUGGGAGACUUGAGUGCAGAAGAGGAGAGUGGAAUUCCAUGUGUAGCGGUGAAAUGCGUAGAUAUAUGGAGGAACACCAGUGGCGAAGGCGGCUCUCUGGUCUGUAACUGACGCUGAGGCUCGAAAGCGUGGGGAGCAAACAGG
rnacentral:rRNA from 1 species